rnacentral:rRNA from 1 species
AACGAACGCUGGCGGCAUGCCUAACACAUGCAAGUCGAACGAGACCUUCGGUUCUAGUGGCGCACGGGUGCGUAACGCGUGGGAACCUGCCCUUAGGUUCGGAAUAACUCCCCGAAAGGGGUGCUAAUACCGGUUAAUGUCUUCGGACCAAAGAUUUAUCGCCUUUGGAUGGGCCCGCGUUGGAUUAGCUAGUUGGUAGGGUAAAAGCCUACCAAGGCGACGAUCCAUAGCUGGUCUGAGAGGAUGAUCAGCCACACUGGGACUGAGACACGGCCCAGACUCCUACGGGAGGCAGCAGUGGGGAAUAUUGGACAAUGGGCGAAAGCCUGAUCCAGCAAUGCCGCGUGAGUGAUGAAGGCCUUAGGGUUGUAAAGCUCUUUUACCCGGGAUGAUAAUGACAGUACCGGGAGAAUAAGCUCCGGCUAACUCCGUG